CCUCGGAAGCUCUCAGGUCUAGCGAGAUGGAAAGCAACAAGUCAAAACACACGGAAGAAGGAACUGCAGAGCGUGAGAAGGGCUGUGGGGGCCCUGGAGGGGGGUUCCAGGCAGGGGGAGCCCCCCACCCCCCGGGCACAGUGCCCUGAGGAGGGAGGGCCUUUGUGCAGCUCGAAGUGGCUGAAGCAGCAGGGCUGGCGCUGGCACCACACUUGGCCCUGUCUUUGUGCAAGAGAGAGCAGCUGUCUACACGCACGUUGCUUCUGGGCAUGAAGGAGGCGGGAACAGGGACAUGACCACAUCUGCAUUUGACACGCCGUGACGAGCAGCUGUGGACUCCAUCCCCCAGGAACAGGUGCUCGUACUUGAACGUGUGUCCUCAAGGAGAACAUCCAGGGCAGCUUCGCCGAGCUUUGAGGAAUCUGUAGGCCACGCCGGCGGAGGCAGCUGUGUUUUCGGGUGGUUUUUUAGAAAGUCUCAUUUAUCUUACAUUGAUGUCCCCUUGAAAACCUGGGAGAGGUGCCCACACCUGCCCCUGCUUGGCCAGUGACCCCUCCCCAGGUGCCCGGUAGUGGGGAGGAGUUAUAAGCCAGUGCACUACCCCCAGCAAACAGAACACAACACAGAACACAAGGCAGCUCUAAAACGGUGACUUUCUUGCAAAUAAUGGAAUAUUCUGAGACUCUGUGACAUUUGCAGACGAACGUGAGAAGGAAACAGGAACUAAUCAGUUCGUGAUGAUGACAUCUAAAGCAGCGGAGGUUCUGGGCCAGGGGGACACCAACAGAUGUGCCAGGAAAGCCAAGAGGGUGGUGACAGAGCUCCCCUGAGCCCACCACAUGGAAAGAACCCCAGCCUGACAUCUUGGCCCUCUCUGUGUCCCUGCUGGGUGUCAAGUGUGGUGAUUAAAAAGACCCAUUUCCUUAAAAAAAAAAAAAAAAGUCAGUUUCAAGAUGACUUCUAUAAAUUAUGUCACUCUGGCUCACUUGAGUUAUGUCAGGCUUCUUGAGCGCAAUGGAAAGGAGUGGAAUUAAGACUGGCUUACCAGGAAUUGGCCAGGGAAAUGGUCACACAUGUGGACAACACUGGAUUUGUGUCCCCCAGGAAAUCAGCUUGGGGCAUUAGGGUUCCAAACUGCAGUCAAGUGCAAGCUGUUGAGUAGAUGCGUUUUUGAGCUGUUCAUAGAUGCUUGCAGGGACUUCCUUCGAGAAAAAACUUUCUAAUAGAGUUAGUUGAACGUGAAAUGGGUUGCCCCAGACAGUGGGAGUUCCCUGUGACUAGUGGGAUUUAAAUGUUGGGUGGACAGCUCCUUGGCAGAGGGUUGGCAAGGGUGACCAACUAUUAUUUUGGAAGCUGCUAGGUAAAUUGUAACUUUCUUUUCCAGAAUAGAGAUCUACAAUUCAAGACUAAUGGAUCGCCUUUUGCCAGCUCAAAAGUUGGUGGCAGUUUGCUUGCUGCUUCAUUCACAAACUCAAGUAGAGAAAGAAUCCAUGGCAAGGCUUGUAUGCCAGGAUUGUGAAUUCUGGGGCUUUAUAAAAUGAAAGGACUACAUAAACUUGUUCAGGAGCUAUGGUUAAACUGCCUGGUUUUUGGCCCUGUGAGUUGGGGUUGGGGGACAGGACAGCUCACCGGGUAUCCUGGGGUGGUGGUAUUUGGGUGAAGUCCCAUUCCUGCCACAUUGCUUUCCAGCCUCACGAUUUUGGGUUAGUCACUUGAUCAAUCUUGUGUCCUGAUUGUAAAAUGGUGAGAGAAACUAUAUGCCUAUGGGUGAGCUGAGGGAGUGCAGGGAAAAGAGUACAGUAUUUCUAAAGAACUAAGUUAAAAAAUAAAAUAAAAAAAAAUAAGCAAAGAGCACAGUUCUUAGCACCUGGCACAUGAUCAGCAAACGGAGAUAGGAGCUAGAAGGUAAGAGCAGAAUGUCAUGAAUGAUGAGUGAAGACAUGGGUCAUCUGGUCACUUUAAACUUCUAAAGAGAUUGGAUGUGGGUGGCAUUUCUCUACAAACAAGGGGGAAUUCGAGUGUGUGAGUGUGUGUGUGUGUGUGUGUGUGUUUCUGUGGUUGGACCCACAGAUGAGUUUUGAGCAUGGAUGUUUAAAGUAUAUGGUCUCGUUUACAGUUUGGGAGAUUUUAAUUUAUUUUUGUUGCUUGGUAUUUGAUGAUGAUUUCUUUUUCUCCCUGUCAAAGGAGAUUUUCCAGCUGCACGAGAUGCUGUUGUGGGUGUCACUUCUGAAGUUAAGAUGCCUUUCGAAUGGCCCUGGACCCGGAGAUGUGAAACCCUCAGAGCAGCUGGAGAGACGAGCCCUGCAAUAUUCAGUGCUGACACAGAGGUGUCAAGUUCCAUUCAAGUAUGUUUUAAAUAGUUAACAGCAUUAACAACAUUAUUUUCUAUUACCAAAAUUGUGUGUCUUUAAAAAAAAUCUAGGAAAUACCAAAAAGCAAAACAAAAAUAAAAAAUAAAGUAUUCAAAUAGUCCUCCCAUCAACAAUACAGCCAGCAACCUCUGCUAUAUCAUCUCCCGGAAUCUCUCCCUCUUUUAAAGAUGGGAUCCCACUCUAGUUGCUCUAAUAUUAUUUCAUAAUGUUUUUUUUAAAACAUAAUACUGCUGAACUUACUUUCUUCUAAUUAUACGUUCUACUCAUAUAGUUUUUUUCAAAAUUCAGAUUACUUCAUUGUUUUGUCUGGUUAGAAAUGUAAUACACCGAUGGAAGUAGUGCACAUGCAUAAGCAAGAAGGUAAAAAACACAUAUAAUCUGCAUCCCUAACUCUCACUGUUAAUAUUUUGGCAUAUGCUCUUCUGGAUUAUUUUCUUUAAUGUUUAUUUCUCACACAGACAAUUCCUCAGCUUUCUUUCCCCCAGGAUUGGGUUCCCAUAACAUUUAAUGUUCUAUAAUCUGCUGUCUUUACUUAAGAAUAUAUUGUGAACACCUUUCUACCUAUUAAACAUUCUUGCAUAGCGUUAUUUUCAAUGGCUGUCAUUGCAUUGCAGGGAUGUAUUCUCACUUCUUUCACUGGUGGAUACUUGGCUUUUUAACACGUUUUCAAUAUUCUCAUAAUAUUCUGAUGCUUACUUUGGCUGUUACUCAUGCUUGCGCAUAACCAUGAUAACUUUUCAUAAUAAAUUCCUAGAAGUGGAAUAACUAAGUCAAAGAAAAGAUGCAAGUUUAAGACUCUUCAUACGUAUUGCCAAAUUGCCCUUCAGAAUGGUGGAGCCAGUCUAGACUCUCGGUGAAUAACUUGGUAUGGGCCUGUUUAUCAGCACCCUCAGUGACCUGAAAUAGUGUAGUCUAGUAUAGUCUGAGAUAAAAAAAAAAAAUAAUGCAUUCCUUGUUUUGUUUAAACAGCUCUAAUCGAUAUUAGAAACAAGUUUGCAUUUCAUUUUGAUUAGAAUUCAUUAUUAAUUA